GUCAGUUUGUCCGAGUGGUUAAGGAGUGUGACUCGAAAUCACAUAGGCUUUGCCUGCGUAGGUUCAAAUCCUGCAGCUGACG
rfam:Absidia repens strain NRRL 1336 BCR42scaffold_3, whole genome shotgun sequence.